UACGUAGGGUGCAAGCGUUGUCCGGAAUUAUUGGGCGUAAAGAGCUCGUAGGCGGUUCGUCGCGUCGGCUGUGAAAUCCCGAGGCUCAACCUCGGGUCUGCAGUCGAUACGGGCGGACUGGAGUUCGGCAGGGGAGACUGGAAUUCCUGGUGUAGCGGUGAAAUGCGCAGAUAUCAGGAGGAACACCGGUGGCGAAGGCGGGUCACUGGCCCGAUACUGACGCUGAGGAGCGAAAGCGUGGGGAGCGAACAGG
rnacentral:rRNA from 1 species